rnacentral:rRNA from 1 species
AUUGAACGCUAGCGGGAUGCUUUACACAUGCAAGUCGAACGAGUGGCGGACGGGUGAGUAAUAUAUCGGAACGUGCCCAGUAGCGGGGGAUAACUACUCGAAAGAGUGGCUAAUACCGCAUACUUUUGGAUCGGCCGAUAUGGGAUUAGCUUGUUGGGGGGGUAAAGGCUCACCAAGGCAACGCUCCGUAGCUGGUUUGAGAGGAGGACCAGCAAAACUGGAACUGAGACACGGCCCAGACUCUUACGGGAGGCAGCAGUGGGGAAUUUUGGACAAUGGGGGAAACCCUGAUCAAGAAAGCCGGCGUGGAGGAGAAGGCCUUCGGGUUGUAAAGUACUUUUUGCGGGGAGGCGGUAACUGCAGAAUAAGCACCGGCUAACUACGUGCCAGCAGCCGCGGUAAUAC